AAUUCCCAACACCUUCUCCCUCUUUUCCCAAGUUUUCCCCAUUUUUCCCCAAAUUUUCCCCAUUUUUUCUCAAUUUUUCCCCAAUUUUUCCCAUUUUUUUUCUCAAUUUUCCCCAUUUUUUCCCCAAAUAUUUCCCAAUUUUUUCCCAAAUUUUCCCCAUUUUUUCCCUUUUUUUCUCAAUUUUCCCCAUUUUUUUUCCUCCAAGUUUUCCCUUUUCCUUCCCCAUUUUUUCCCCAUUUUUUUUCUCACUUUUCCCCAUUUCCCCCCAAGUUUUUCCUAUUUUUCCCCAAUUUUUUCCCAUUUUUUCUCAAUUUUCCCCCAAUUUUUUCCCAUUUUUUCUCAAUUUUCCCCCAAUUUUUUCCUAUUUUUUUCUCAAUUUUCCCCAUUUUUUUCUCCAAAUUUUCCCUUUUCCUUCCCCUAUUUUCCCCAUUUUUUCCCCAAUUUUUCCCCAAUUUUUUCCCAUUUUUUAAAUCUAUUUUCUCCAUUUUUCCCCAAUUUUUUCCCGUUUUUUUCGAAAUUUUCCCCAUUUUUUCCUCCAACUUUUCCUGUUUCCUUCCCCAUUUUUUCCUAAAUUUCCCCAUUUUUUUCAUUUUUCCCUCCAAUUUUUCCCUUUUCCUUUCCCAUUUUUUCCCCAAUAUUUCUCCUUUCCCCUUUUCCCCAAGUCAGCUUCUCCAGGAAUUCCGGCAUUCCUGCAAUUCCCAACCCUGCUCCCUCUUUUCCCAAGUUUUCCCCAUUUUUCCCCAAAUUUUCCCCAUUUUUCCCCAACUUUUCCCCAUUGUUUUCUCAAUUUUCCCCAAUUUUUUCCCAUUUUUCCCCCCAAAUUUUUCCCAUUUUUUCCCCAUUUUUUCCCAUUUUUUUUCUCAAUUUUCCCCAAUUUUUCCCAUUUUUUUCUCAAUUUUCCCCAUUUUUUCCUCCAAGUUUUCCCUUUUCCUUCCCCACUUUCCCCCCAUUUUUUUCCCAUUUUUUUCUCACUUUUCCCCAUUUUCCCCCCAAGUUUUUCCCAUUUUUCCCCAAAUUUUUCCCAUUUUUUUCUCAAUUUUCCCCAUUGGUCCCAUAAUUUUUUCCCCAAAUUUUCCCCAUUUUUUUCCCCAAAUUUGUCCCAUUUUUCCCCAAAUUUUUCCCAUUUUUUCUCAAUUUUCCCCAUUUUCCCCCAAUUUUUUCCCAUUUUUUCCUCAAUUUCCCCCCAAUUUUUUUCCAUUUUUUUCCCAAUUUUUUCUCAAUUUUCCCCAUUUUUUCCUCCAAUUUUUCCCUUUUCCUUCUCCCUCUUUUCCCAAAUUUUUCCCCAUUUUCUCCCUUUUACCCCCAUUUUUUUUCCCAAUUUUUCCCUUUCAUAUUUUCCAUUUUUUUUCCUUUUUCCCCCCUUUUUUUCCCUUUUCCUUUCCCCCAAUCCCCCCCAUUUUUUUUCCUCUCUUUAUUCCCCAUUUUCCUUUUGCUUUUCCCCGGGAAUUUUGGGGGAAUUUGGGGGAAUUUUGGGAAUUUUUGGGAAUUCUCACCGCUGGACACCAUCCAGCUGAGGCAGUAGCGGGGGAACACGGUCUGAGGGUUGUCGCUGUACGUCAGCAGGUAAUCGAAGCCGUUCUGGAAAACACCAAAAUUCCCAACAAUUCCCAACAAUUCCCAAAAUUCCCAGCAACAAUUCCCUGA
ensembl:lncRNA